rnacentral:rRNA from 1 species
GAUGAACGCUAGCGGCAGGCCUAACACAUGCAAGUCGAGGGAGAAGCCUUCGGGCUAAAACCGGCGCACGGGUGCGUAACGCGUAUACAAUCUGCCUUUUAUCCGGGGGAUAGCCCGAAGAAAUUUGGAUUAAUACCCUAUGGUAUAAGAGCACGGCAUCGUGCACUUAUUAAAGCUACGGCGGUAAAAGAUGAGUAUGCGUUCUAUUAGCUAGUUGGAGAGGUAACGGCUCCCCAAGGCGACGAUAGAUAGGGGUUCUGAGAGGGAUGUCCCCCACACUGGUACUGAGAUACGGACCAGACUCCUACGGGAGGCAGCAGUGAGGAAUAUUGGACAAUGGUCGGAAGACUGAUCCAGCCAUGCCGCGUGCAGGAUGACGGCCUUAUGGGUUGUAAACUGCUUUUGUAAGGGAAGAAUAAGGAGUACGCGUACUUUGAUGACGGACCUACGAAU